rnacentral:lncRNA from 1 species
GGGCGGUAAUCUCAAGAAAAAUUUACGGGUAAAUAACUACUCGCUCUGUUAUUAUAUAUGCUGUAUUUACAUCUUAUAUCGUGGGACUGAGGGAGUACCUCAAAGAAGACAUAAAUUUUUUGAUGUAGAAAAUCUGUAGGCUGACUAUGCUUUGAUGCAUAGUUUGCAGUAGCACUUCACUUAGGUAAAAUAUAAGUUCUUAGCAUAUUCAACAGUACUUCUAUUGAAC